UACGUAGGAGACGAGCGUUGUCCGGAGUUACUGGGCGUAAAGGGUGCGCAGGUGGCUGUGCGCGUGGGGGGUGAAAUCGCCCGGCUCAACUGGGCGGGGUCAGCGGAUACGGUGUGGCUCGAGCAAGCUAGGGGGCAAUGGAAUUCCCGGUGUAGUGGUGGAAUGCGUAGAUAUCGGGAGGAACACCAGUGGCGAAGGCGGUUGCCUGGAGCUUUGCUGACGCUGAGGCGCGAAAGCGUGGGGAGCGAUCCGG
rnacentral:rRNA from 1 species